rnacentral:rRNA from 1 species
UACCAGACUCCUACGGGAGGCAGCAGUGGGGGAUAUUGCACAAUGGGGGGAACCCUGAUGCAGCGACGCCGCGUGGGUGAAGGAGCGUUUCGGCGCGUAAAGCCCUAUCGGCAGGGAAGAAGGAGGACGGUACCUGACUAAGAAGCCCCGGCUAACUACGUGCCAGCAGCCGCGGUAAUACGUAGGGGGCAAGCGUUAUCCGGAUUUACUGGGUGUAAAGGGGGCGCAGACGGCAGCGCAAGCCAGGAGUGAAAGGCCGGGGCUCAACCCCGGGAGUGCAUUUGAAACUGUCCAGCUGGAGUGCAGGAGAGGUAAGCGGAAUUCCUAGUGUAGCGGUGAAAUGCAUAGAUAUUAGGAGGAACACCAGUGGCGAAGGCGGCUUACUGGACUGUAACUGACACUGAGGCUCGAAAGCGUGGGGAGCAAACAGGAUUAGAUACCCUAGUA